rnacentral:rRNA from 1 species
AGCGAACGCUGGCGGCAGGCUUAACACAUGCAAGUCGAGCGGGCAUAACAAUAUGUCAGCGGCAGACGGGUGAGUAACACGUGGGAACGUACCUUUUGGUUCGGAACAACUGAGGGAAACUUCAGCUAAUACCGAAUAAGCCCUUACGGGGAAAGAUUUAUUGCCAAAAGAUCGGCCCGCGUCUGAUUAGCUAGUUGGUAGGGUAAUGGCCUACCAAGGCGACGAUCAGUAGCUGGUCUGAGAGGAUGAUCAGCCACAUUGGGACUGAGACACGGCCCAGACUCCUACGGGAGGCAGCAGUGGGGAAUAUUGGACAAUGGGCGCAAGCCUGAUCCAGCCAUGCCGCGUGAGUGAUGAAGGCCCUAGGGUUGUAAAGCUCUUUUAACGGGGAAGAUAAUGACGGUACCCGUAGAAUAAGCCCCGGCUAACUUCGUGCCAGCAGCCGCCGUAA